UUUUAUAUUUCUACUUCAUAUCAAGAGCUCGUAGAUCGACGAGAAAAAGAGAAAUUAGCCGAGUAGUCUCUGAACUAUUACCAAUUUUAUAAUUCAACCCAGGUAAGUUCAUAUGGUUAAAUUUUCAUGAUUAUUUGUUAAUUUAGGAAUGGUAUAAUAUAUUUAUUCAUAUUUUUUUGUUGAAAUUAAGAUUAUUGUAAAAGUAUGAAAAUUGAAUUGAAUGUUUAAAACGAGUAAAACGCAGGAUUAAGUACGAUCGUUCCGUGGCAAUGAAUGAAUUGACGGAUAAGACCAUGGUUGGACCAUGGCAAUGUUUAAAUGUAAGAUCAUAGCUGGGCUAUGACAUUUUAAUGAAAAGACCAUAACUGAGUUAUGGCACCUUGAACGUAAGACCACGGUUGGACCAUGACAGUAUAGAUACAUGUGUAAGACCAUAGUUGGGAUAUGGCAUUCUGAUGAUAAGACCUUAACUGGGUUAUGGCACUACAAAUGUAAGACCAUGGCAAGACCAUGGCAAUGCAUGUGUAAGACCAUAGUUGGACUAUGGCACAAAAAGAACGAUGUACUCAUAUCCGUAAGCUGUUCUUCGAUUCAGUAAGAAAUGGUAAGAGACUUAUGUGAUUGAAUUGAAAGAUUUAUAAAUUAUUAUUGAUAUUGAUAUGAAGGAAGUGUGUGUUUAUUGAUUAUAUUGUAUUUGACAGAGAAAAAUGUAUGAUUUAUUUACAAUUUAAUUUAUUAUAUUAUAUUAAGUUCGGUAAGAUUUAUGUUUAACCUAUUGAACUUACUAAGCUUUAUUAAGCUUACUCGUGUUGUUUAAUGUUCUUGUAGAUUAACGUGUAGUCGGAAGAUCAGAUCAACACAUCAAGCUACACUAUCCAGUUUAUUCCGGUAGUUUUUGCAAUGUAAAAUUUGGUUUAUAUGGCAUGUAUAGGGUUGGUUUGACAAUGAAAUAGUUUGAAUUGUGGUUGUGAAUAUUAAAUGUUUGUAUGCAUGUAAUUAGUAGUAGAAUUUGAUAAAUCAAUGAAAUGAGUUAAAUAGGCAGGUA
rnacentral:lncRNA from 1 species